GGGGAGUGCAGAGUUCAUCUCCGAGUUCUGAAUACUGACAAUAGUAAACAUGGCGACGGUGGAAGAGAACAUGAUGCAUUCUGAGAAAGAGACUGGGACUAUUGUUACCUCAAAGAAAAGGAGGAAGCUCUCAUCAAAGAGCACUCGGAUGAAUGGGACAUUGCCAGUGAAGUGAUGAAGAUCAUCAUCAUCGGAGGGACUACAGCAAGAAUCAUGAUAGAGGGAACUAAAAUCUUACAAGAACUUAAUGUUCCCAGAGCCUGCUCCUUGCUAAUGGGACUUAUAUAUGCCUUAAACCUCAGCUACCCAAAGGUGCUGAAACAUACCUUUGAAGUGUUUUAGAGGGUAUUCCUUGGGCUGGAUGGUUCUUUGUUUUUGUGAUUUUUUCUUUUCUUUUCUUUUUUUUGUGCACAUGGGGUAAAACUGACAAUUUGAAUUCAUUUCACUGUGGCUUUAGAAUAAAGUGAGCAAAAGAAUAGA